rnacentral:lncRNA from 1 species
AAACUUUGUCAUCAAACUUGGGUAUCCACAGUCAAGCUUUGUCAUCGAGCUCGAGUUACAAAAGUUCUAUUCGUGCUCAAACUUUAUCAUCGGGCUUGGGUUACAGAAAUUUUGUUUAUACUUAAACUCUGUAUCCAUAGCUCAAACUUUGUCAUUGAGCUUUGAUUACGAAAGUUAUGUUUGUACUCAAGCUUAUUAUAGGGCUUAUGAAAGUUCUAUUCGUGCUCAUUCUUUAUCAUCAAGCUUGGAGAUUCAAUGUUUGGUAUCAUCAUUGAUGUUGUUUGUUGGAAGCAAGCCAUGGUUAAUAUACUUUCAAGAUCUCUUCCAGCACCUGAACCUACAGUUGUUGCCCCAGGGACAUUUGAAGAGCUUCGCUAGCAAGUUGCUAUUUUGACUCAACUGUUGGGCCAAUAGAACCUGUCUCUAGUUUUGACAACCAAGGUCAAUGACAUAAUCGGAGCUCGACCUUGAUCUUCUCGUCUCGUUUUUUAAUAAUGGCAGUGCGGAGUCUUCGGGUGUACUUUAGAUUUUCCUUUGACGUCAACCCUAUGGUCAAUCACCUUGACCCCCAUGGAACUUACUAGAAUUAUCUAAGAUUGAAUAACUACUGGCCUACGUCAAAGAACCCAUGACUCAAUAGCUUUUAUGCUGAACAUUCCUUUCACUCCCAAGAUUCUAUCAUAUCCGGUGUUGGAUAGGUUCUAUCCUCGAAUAAAAGAGUAUAUUGGAACCACUAAUAUUAUCAAUCAAAUUAAUGUAUAAACCAAAAUCAUGUAUCUACAGGUCUCCCUAGAUCUAGUAAUGUGCAAGGCUUUUCUAUCCAUACAUUAUCAGAUUUAACAAACAAGUUCUUUGCCUCUUCGCUAGUAGCAAGCACAUCAAGAAGACAACGAUCACCCUCAUAUAGCUCCACUAGGGACAAAAGAAGCCUUAUUGAUUUCAUGGCACAAUUAAACACAGAAAGGCCUCAGUUCCCAACCUACAUAUCACAGCUACUAUCUUCGCUCUCGUACAUGCCAUAAAAUAUGAAUCAUUUAAAAUGUCUUUGUCAAAACCCUACUAAAGUUCGUAAUUGAUUCCCUCACGAAGGGUGAGAAUUAUAUCUAUAUGAAAGAGAACAUUAUCCAAAAAAAUGGGGCUUGACCACUAAGAAGCGAACACAAGAGGCAGCAUGAGCUCAACGUAUGAUAUGAUAGUGCUCAAGUAGAUAGUAGUCAAACCUUGUACCUUGAGCUCCAACUUCUAGAGGUAGAUCAAGGACCUCAAGGAACUCAAAUGGCCUCAAAGAACAAGAUCUCUCGAAGAUGUCAAAGAUCAAAGUAAGUUUUGUGAAUUCCAUUGAGAUCAUGGAUAGACACUUGUAAAACUUAUAGAGCGAAAAUAAGUCCUUGAUAAAAAUGGGUUUCCUCAGGGCUUAUGUCAAUUAAGAAAAAUGUUCGAGG